AGAGUUUGAUACUGGCUCAGGAUGAACGCUAGCUACAGGCUUAACACAUGCAAGUCGAGGGGUAGCAGGGUAGCAAUACCGCUGACGACCGGCGCACGGGUGAGUAACACGUAUCCAACCUUCCCAUAACUCAGGGAUAGCCUUUCGAAAGAAAGAUUAAUACCUGAUAGUACUUUUUCAAGGCAUCUUGAGAAAGUUAAAGAUUUAUUGGUUAUGGAUGGGGAUGCGUUCCAUUAGAUAGUUGGUGAGGUAACGGCUCACCAAGUCUUCGAUGGAUAGGGGUUCUGAGAGGAAGGUCCCCCACAUUGGUACUGAGACACGGACCAAACUCCUACGGGAGGCAGCAGUGAGGAAUAUUGGUCAAUGGGCGAGGGCCUGAACCAGCCAAGUAGCGUGAAGGAUGAAGGUCCUAUGGAUUGUAAACUUCUUUUAUAGUAGAAUAAAGUGAUCCACGUGUGGAUUUUUGUAUGUAUACUAUGAAUAAGGAUCGGCUAACUCCGUGCCAGCCGCAGC
rnacentral:rRNA from 1 species